rnacentral:misc_RNA from 1 species
UCCGGUUUGUCACCGGCAGUCUCCCAUGAGUCCCCAACUGAAUGCUGGCAACAUAGGACGGGGGUUGCGCUCGUUGCGGGACUUAACCCAACAUCUCACGACACGAGCUGACGACAGCCAUGCACCACCUGUGAAGGUGUCCCGAAGGAAAACCGUGUUUCCACGGCGGUCACCCUGCAUGUCAAACCCAGGUAAGGUUCUUCGCGUUGCAUCGAAUUAAGCCGCAUGUUCCACCGCUUGUGCGGACCCCCGUCAAUUCUUUUAAGUUUUAGCCUUGCGACCAUACUCCCCAGGCGAACCACUUAACGCGUUAGCUACGACACUGAUCCAGCUAAGCCGAACCAACAUCUAGUGGUUAUCGUUUACGGCGUGGACUAC